rnacentral:lncRNA from 1 species
GCUGGUCCACGCGUCGAGGAGACCGGAUACGCGGAAUGAUCAGGACCGUCGGAGUGACACGCAUCGCUUCCGUCUCCACUCAACCGUCACCGCUUGGAAACAUCGCCGGAACUGCCUCGUCGGAACUGCCUCGCCGCAAAACUCGUUCCGACGGAGCUCAUAAGACCGAAGAGCCUCCGUCGAAACCACCACCUUUCUUCAACGCUAGAUCUUCUUCCCGGAGAGAUGCAUCGAACCAAUCGAGAUCUCCUCCGCUUAAAGCAAGCCGACAACCACUUGAAACGCACAAAGCCACCAGAGCGCAUCAAUCGUCCUCCGACGAGAGCACCUCCAUCAGAUCAAUCUCGACAUCGCACAAACGAAAAUGAUACCCUAAAAAAACGCAACUAGGAAACAAACAAGAGCCGGCGACGCAAGGCAAAGAACACCUUCACCCCCCCGGAGACUAGAGCCGGCGAAAGCGGAGCUGAGGAAGCCUCCACCUCCCGGAAACAAGGCCGGCGGCGAUAGAGCUCUAGAAGCCUCUACCUCACGGAAACGAAACCUACUCUAAAACAGCCAGCUUCACCACCCAAUCCUCCACACGAUUGCGUUGUUACUCCAGACGCCGCGCCCCCAAAGAUGAUGGUUCACUCCCGGAGGUGACGACGACGGAAAAGACCCGGACCAGAGCUUCGCCAAGGCAAAAGGAAGAGGACGCGUAAUAUAAACCGGGGAACUUUCUCAUCGGAAGAAUGGAGGGCUCCGGCGAUGGCACGCUCGCUCACGCGCCGGCCGUCCGCCGGACCCUCGAUCAGAUCUACUUUCUCUUUCUUUCUUUCUCUCUCUUUCUUUCUUUCUCUCUACACCUUGAG